rnacentral:rRNA from 1 species
GUAGGUGGCAAGCGUUGUCCGGGAAUUAUUGGGGCGUAAAAGCGCGCGCAGGCGGUUCUUUAAGUCUGAUAGUGAAAGCCCCACGGGCUCAACCGUGGAGGGUCAUUGGAAACUGGAGAACUUGAGUACAGAAGAGGAAAGCGGAAUUCCACGUGUAGCGGUGAAAUGCGUAGAGAUGUGGAGGAACACCAGUGGCGAAGGCGGCUUUCUGGUCUGUAACUGACGCUGAGGCGCGAAAGCGUGGGGAGCAAACAGGAUUAGAUACCCUGGUAGUCCACGCCGUAAACGAUGAGUGCUAAGUGUUAGGGGGUUUCCGCCCCUUAGUGCUGCAGCUAACGCAUUAAGCACUCCGCCUGGGGAGUACGGCCGCAAAGGCUGAA